rnacentral:rRNA from 1 species
AGAGUUUGAUCCUAGGCUCAGAUUGAACGCUGGCGGCAGGCCUAACACAUGCAAGUCGAGCGGUAACAGAGAGUAGCUUGCUACUUUGCUGACGAGCGGCGGACGGGUGAGUAAUGCUUGGGAAUAUGCCUUUUGGUGGGGGACAACAGUUGGAAACGACUGCUAAUACCGCAUGAUGUCUACGGACCAAAGUGGGGGACCUUCGGGCCUCACGCCAAAAGAUUAGCCCAAGUGGGAUUAGCUAGUUGGUAAGGUAAUGGCUUACCAAGGCAACGAUCCCUAGCUGGUUUGAGAGGAUGAUCAGCCACACUGGGACUGAGACACGGCCCAGACUCCUACGGGAGGCAGCAGUGGGGAAUAUUGCACAAUGGGCGCAAGCCUGAUGCAGCCAUGCCGCGUGUGUGAAGAAGGCCUUCGGGUUGUAAAGCACUUUCAGUAAGGAGGAAAGGUUAAGUUUUAAUAGAGCUUAGCUGUGACGUUACUUACAGAAGAAGCACCGGCUAACUCCGUGCCAGCAGCCGCGGUAAUACGGAGGGUGCGAGCGUUAAUCGGAAUUACUGGGCGUAAAGCGUACGCAGGCGGUUUGUUAAGCGAGAUGUGAAAGCCCCGGGCUCAACCUGGGAACUGCAUUUCGAACUGGCAAACUAGAGUGUGAUAGAGGGUGGUAGAAUUUCAGGUGUAGCGGUGAAAUGCGUAGAGAUCUGAAGGAAUACCGAUGGCGAAGGCAGCCCACCCUGGGGUCAACACUG